rnacentral:rRNA from 1 species
GAUGAACGCUGGCGGCGUGCCUAAUACAUGCAAGUCGAGCGAAUGGAUUAAGAGCUUGCUCUUAUGAAGUUAGCGGCGGACGGGUGAGUAACACGUGGGUAACCUGCCCAUAAGACUGGGAUAACUCCGGGAAACCGGGGCUAAUACCGGAUAACAUUUUGAACCGCAUGGUUCGAAAUUGAAAGGCGGCUUCGGCUGUCACUUAUGGAUGGACCCGCGUCGCAUUAGCUAGUUGGUGAGGGAACGGCUCACCAAGGCAACGAUGCGUAGCCGAGCUGAGAGGGUGAUCGGCCACACUGGGACUGAGAGACGGCCCAGACUCCUACGGGAGGCAGCAGUAGGGAAUCUACCGCAAUGGACGAAAGUCUGACGGAGCAACGCCGCGUGAGUGAGGAAGGCUUUCGGGUCGUAAAACUCUGUUGUUAGGGAAGAACAAGUGCUAGUUGAAUAAGCUGGCACCUUGACGGUACCUAACCAGAAAGCCACGGCUAACUACGUGCCAGCCGCCGCGGUAA